rnacentral:sRNA from 1 species
GCCAGGCAUGGUGGCGCAUGCCUGUAAUCCCAGCUACUUGGGAGGCUGAGGCGGGAGAAUCACUUGAACCCAGGAGGCGGAGUGCAGUGAGUGGAGAUCGCACCACUGCACUCCAGCCUGACAGGCAGAGUGAGACUCCGUCUCAA